rnacentral:snoRNA from 1 species
ACCUGCUUUGCAAGUGUGAAGCCCUGAGUUCAAAUUUGAGUUCCACAAAAAAAAAAAAAAGCCACAUUGAUUGUUUUAGAUUUUUGCUUUUAUGAGGGUAAAAUCAUAACAACUUGACACGGACAAUU